rnacentral:rRNA from 1 species
UACGUAGGGUGCGAGCGUUUGUCCGGAAUUAUUGGGCGUAAAGAGCUCGUAGGCGGUCUGUCGCGUCGGAUGUGAAAGCCCGGGGCUUAACUCCGGGUCUGCAUUCGAUACGGGCAGACUAGAGUGUGGUAGGGGAGAUCGGAAUUCCUGGUGUAGCGGUGAAAUGCGCAGAUAUCAGGAGGAACACCGGUGGCGAAGGCGGAUCUCUGGGCCAUUACUGACGCUGAGGAGCGAAAGCGUGGGGAGCGAACAGG